rnacentral:rRNA from 1 species
GAUGGGCCUGUGGCCGAUUAGCUGGUUGGUGGGGUAACAGCUCACCAAGGCGACGAUCGGUAGCUGGUCUGAGAGGACGAUCAGCCACACUGGGAUUGAGAACGGCCCAGACUCCUACGGGGGGCAGCAGUGAGGAAUUUUCCGCAAUGGAGGCAACUCUGACGGAGCAACGCCGCGUGCAGGAGGACGCUUUUCGGAGUGUAAACUGCUUUUCUGUGGGACGAGGAUGGACGGUACCACAGGAAGAAGCCCCGGCUAACUACGUGCCAGCAGCCGCGGUAAUACGUAGGGGGCGAGCGUUGUCCGGAGUUACUGGGCGUAAAGGGCACGCAGGCGGUGCGGCGCGUUUCGCGUGACAGCGGAGGGCUUAACUCUCCGAGGAUGCGAAAGACGGCGGCACUUGAGGGCCAGAGAGGGACACGGAAUUCCGGGUGGAGUGGUGAAAUGCGUAGAGAUCCGGAGG